rnacentral:rRNA from 1 species
CCUACGGGAGGCAGCAGUGGGGGAUAUUGCACAAUGGAGGAAACUCUGAUGCAGCGACGCCGCGUGAGGGAAGACGGUCUUCGGAUUGUAAACCUCUGUCUUUGGGGAAGAAAAUGACGGUACCCAAAGAGGAAGCUCCGGCUAACUACGUGCCAGCAGCCGCGGUAAUACGUAGGGAGCGAGCGUUGUCCGGAAUUACUGGGUGUAAAGGGCGUGUAGCCGGGUUGACAAGUCAGAUGUGAAAUCCUGCGGCUUAACCGCAGAACUGCAUUUGAAACUGUUGAUCUUGAGUACUGGAGAGGCAGACGGAAUUCCUAGUGUAGCGGUGAAAUGCGUAGAUAUUAGGAGGAACACCAGUGGCGAAGGCGGUCUGCUGGACAGCAACUGACGGUGAGGCGCGAAAGCGUGGGGAGCAAACAGGAUUAGAUACCCUUGUAGUC